UACAGAGGGUGCGAGCGUUGUCCGGAAUCACUGGGCGUAAAGGGCGCGUAGGCGGCCUGAUAAGUAGGGGGUGAAAUCCUAUGGCUCAACUGCAGGGCUGCCUCCUAGACUGUCGGGCUUGAGCACGGUAGAGGCAGAUGGAAUUCCCGGUGUAGCGGUGGAAUGCGUAGAGAUCGGGAAGAACAUCGGUGGCGAAGGCGGUCUGCUGGGCCGUUGCUGACGCUGAGGCGCGACAGCGUGGGGAGCAAACAGG
rnacentral:rRNA from 1 species